GUGGUUGCAAUGAAUAUUGGUUGCAUUUGUUAACAAUACAGUGCAGCCCUAGAUAACCACAUACAUUAAAAGAUGGUUCCUGCCGACAGUGUCUGUCGAGUUAUCAGAUUUCUGUGCGAUGGUUCCGUACAUA
rnacentral:snoRNA from 1 species